CCCUUAGAUGUUCUGGGCCGCACACGCGCUACACUGAAGGAGGCAGCGUGUACUCCUGGAUCGAAAGAUUUGGGUAACCCGCGAAUCUCCUUCGUGCUAGGGAUUGAGGUUUGCAAUUAUCCUUCAUGAACGAGGAAUUCCCAGUAAGUGCAAGUCAUAAGCUUGCGCUGACUACGUCCCUACCCUUUGUACACACCGCCCGUCGCUACUACCGAUUGAAUGAUUUAGUGAGGACUUCGGACUGGGACCGAUGCGGCUUUCGGGCUGCGUCGGUAUUCUGGAAAGAUGUCCAAACUGUAUCAUUUAGAGGAAGUAAAAGUCGUAACA
rnacentral:rRNA from 1 species